rnacentral:rRNA from 1 species
CACACCGCCCGUCACAUCAUGAAAGCCGGUUGUACCCGAAGUCCGCACGCCGACCGCAAGGGGGCAGUGGCCGAAGGUAUGGCUGGUGAUUGGGAUG